AUACGGAGGGUGCGAGCGUUAAUCGGAAUUACUGGGCGUAAAGCGUGCGCAGGCGGUUUUGUAAGUCAGAUGUGAAAUCCCCGGGCUUAACCUGGGAACUGCGUUUGAAACUGCAAGGCUAGAGUGUGGGAGAGGGGGGUGGAAUUCCGCGUGUAGCAGUGAAAUGCGUAGAGAUGUGGAGGAACACCGAUGGCGAAGGCAGCCCCCUGGGUUAACACUGACGCUCAGGCACGAAAGCAUGGGGAGCAAACAGGAUUAGAUACCCCGGUAGUCC
rnacentral:rRNA from 1 species